rnacentral:sRNA from 1 species
GUUGAGUGUGUACCUGUAGUCCCACCUACUCAGGAGGCUGAGGCAGGAGGAUCACUUGAGUCAAGGAGUUCAAGGCCAGUCUGGGCAACAUAGUGAGACCCUAUCUCCU